rnacentral:rRNA from 1 species
CCUACGGGGGGCUGCAGUGAGGAAUAUUGGUCAAUGGGCGGGAGCCUGAACCAGCCAAGCCGCGUGAGGGAAGAAGGUACAGCGUAUCGUAAACCUCUUUUGUCAGGGAACAAAGGCGGGGACUAGUCCCCGGAUGAGGGUACCUGAAGAAAAAGCAUCGGCUAACUCCGUGCCAGCAGCCGCGGUAAUACGGAGGAUGCGAGCGUUAUCCGGAUUUAUUGGGUUUAAAGGGUGCGCAGGCGGCCUGUUAAGUCAGCGGGAAAAGCCCGGGGCUCAACCCCGGCGAGCCGUUGAAACUGGCGGGCUGGAGUUGGAGAGAAGUACGCGGAAUGCGCGGUGUAGCGGUGAAAUGCUUAGAUAUCGCGCAGAACCCCGAUUGCGAAGGCAGCGUACCGGCUCCACACUGACGCUGAGGCACGAAAGCGUGGGUAUCGAACAGGAUUAGAUACCCGAGUAGUC